UGGUGUACCAGUUGUCCUGCCAAGGGCAUGGCUGGGUAGCUAUGUACGGAAUGGAUAAGCGCUGAAAGCAUCUAAGCGCGAAGCCAACUUCAAGAUAAGAUUUCCCACCGCAAGGGUAAGACCCCAGAAAGACUAUCUGGUUGAUAGGUCGAAGGUGUAAGUGCAGCAAUGUAUUUAGCUUAUCGAUACUAAUAGGUCGAGGACUUGACCAA
rnacentral:rRNA from 1 species